rnacentral:rRNA from 1 species
ACCUACGGGGGGCAGCAGUGGGGAAUAUUGCACAAUGGGGGAAACCCUGAUGCAGCAACGCCGCGUGAGUGAAGAAGUAUUUCGGUAUGUAAAGCUCUAUCAGCAGGGAAGAAGAAAGACGGUACCUGACUAAGAAGCCCCGGCUAACUACGUGCCAGCAGCCGCGGUAAUACGUAGGGGGCAAGCGUUAUCCGGAUUUACUGGGUGUAAAGGGAGCGUAGGUGGCAGGGCAAGUCAGAUGUGAAAACCCGGGGCUCAACUCCGGGAGUGCAUUUGAAACUGUCCAGCUAGAGUGCAGGAGAGGG